rnacentral:rRNA from 1 species
UACGGGGGGGGCAAGCGUUGUUCGGAAUUACUGGGCGUAAAGGGUUCGUAGGUGGCUUGCUCAGUCAGACGUGAAAUCCCUCAGCUUAACUGGGGAACUGCGUCUGAUACUGGCGAGCUUGAGUGCAGGAGAGGAACGCGGAAUUCCAGGUGUAGCGGUGAAAUGCGUAGAUAUCUGGAGGAACACCGGUGGCGAAGGCGGCGCUCUGGAUUGCAACUGACACUGAUGAACGAAAGCCAGGGGAGCAAACGGG